UUCCUCCUCGGGUUUCUCGCUUCAGGCUGAGGGUUUGCUACCGAACCCGGAGCCUGGGACGCCAAGGAGGGCGCUUGGAGAUCCAAGUGCUCCGAGGAGCCUGGACUUGGGCAAGCAGAUGAGGAAAUUGAGGGAGACAGAGAUGAAGUGACCUGCCCACUGUCACACCAGUUUAAAUGAAAAUCAAAGUGGAAGAAGUUGAAGUUAUAUGCCCAUUGUCUAAUGGCUAAUCAGUAUUAAAGGCAGACUAGACCCAGAAGGCCUGAUUUUCACUCAUUUUUCUUUGCACAUAACUCUUAUCUAUCUCACAGAUGGACUGCCUCAAGGAUCACAUGAGAUGUUUUUAUGCAAAGGGCUUUGUAAUAAA